rnacentral:pre_miRNA from 1 species
GAGACACACCUGUGGAGCAGGACUUGCUGCAGUGGGGCUUUGGCACUCACCGAGUCUGCCCCUGGAGUGUGUCACU